rnacentral:RNase_P_RNA from 1 species
CGGGGGAAGUAAGUAUUCGCUCAUUGCGAUGGUUUACUAAGCAGUGAGAGGAAAGUCCGGACACCGCAGAGCAGAAUUCCCAAUGAAAAUUGGGGUGGGUCACCGCAAGGUGGCUCAACGGAAAGCGCAACAGAGAGCAAACCGCCCAUGGCAAAUGGGUAAGGGUGAAAUGGCGUGGUAAGAGCACACCGCAUCGGUGAGCAAUCACCGUGGCAAGGCAAGCCCAAUUCGGUGCAAGACGGAAUAGGAAGUGGAGCUGCUCGCUCAGACACUUCGGGUACGUCGCAUCCGCGCAAGUGGAAAUAUCGCGAGAUAUUAGAUAAAUGAAUACAUCGGGAAACCGACACAGAAUCCGGCUUAUUCUUCCCUCUACGA